GGCUGCCCUCGGGCUGGCGGAGGCGCCGGAGGAGCCCCCGAGCUGCAGCCGUCUCCCUCGGGCUGCUGCCGGUGCUGCGGGCGGAGGCGGCUCCGCCGCGUGUUGGGCGCUGCGAGCAGGGAGCGCUGCGGUAUCGCCGGCAUGACGGGGCUGCUGCCUGCGUUAGUGCUCGUGGCUCUUUGUGCCGUGACAGCGGAUGGAGCGGCGCUGGGCGGUAAAGCCAGAGAUGGCCGGGAGAAUGCCCAGCGCAGGGAGCGGGCGGGCUGUAUGCUUCGGAUGGCACAGGUGCGAGCUGCAAAGCCACCCCCCCUUCCGCCCCUGCCCUCCCGAGCCCCGGGGAAAAUGCUUUCCAGCAUUGUCGAGCUUCUGAAAGACAAAACUUGUGAUUUGACACUAGCAUCCAGAAAAGGUUUCUGUCUAGAUUAGCAAAUGCCUAAAUUGUUCUUGGUUACAUCCCAUGACCGGUUUUAGGCAGUGACUUCAUACUGCUUUUAGGAUUUUCUUGUACACUGGUGAGAAAAUAGGCAGGUCUGAUAGUGGUUUCACUUUUUUUCUACUUCACGUUCCAUAAGAUUCUUUUAUCCAAGCGAUUGUUUUAAAAUUCUACUGUAAGCGUUUGUGGUUCACUUUUUUUUUCUUUGCAGCACCCGGGCCUUUUUUUUUUUCUCUAAAUCGGGAGUAAAUAUAGCUGAGUAAAAUUACCUUGGUUAUCUUCCUUCUUUUUAAACUUAAUUGUUUUUAUUAAUAAUUCUAUCUGAAUAUGCAGAAAAAGUGAGUAUGUCCUGUAAUCUAUGCUAGCUUUUCUCGUUUACAGGGUACUCACAAAAUAUGUCUCCCUUAGUGUCCCACAGAAACAUUCUGGGUGCAAUCUGAAUUAAGGUAUGUGUUUUCAAAUAAGUAAUCAGUUUAGAUAUUUGCCUGUGUACCUUUUCCUGUAAUUCAGAGCUUGUGUUCUGUGGGUUUUAUGAUAAACCUGUAAAACAUGUAAGAAUGGUUUUGCAAGUCUGAAUCGUUGAAGGCAGCAAUAAGUGGAUUUAAAGCCUGUUCUUGAGCAGACAAAGGGGAAAAGUGUGACUCUGAUGCUGAACUUGUCAUUUUUCAUUUGACUUGCCUUUAAUUAUUGAAGAAGAGAGAGAACUAGGAAAAGAAAUAGAAUUGAUUAUUGAGCACUCCUAAAAAGCUCACCAUGAUUCUGGGUAGAGCCAAAGUGAAGGAUGAUGGAACAGAGCUCUGUGCAUUAGAAGGAAAUAAACCUGAUGUCCACACAGAGUCUUACUAAUUUCUGUUUUUAAAAUGCAAAAUAAGUUUAGGAAGUGUUGGAAGUUAGUAUUUUGGGAAAGAAAUGGCAGUUCCACAAAACAUUCCAUUCCAUUUAAGAGAGGCCCUUGGACUGAUUCAUGUUGUAACUGCUGUCACUGCAAUCAGUUGGUGGUUCAGCCUUGAAACGUGCACUUGGCCUUCUAUAAAGCACUGUUUUGUUUGCCUUUCAGUGCUAUGAGUCUUGAUAAAUUGGAGAAGUGCCCAAGAGAAAUUCAUCAUCCUGAGAUACAAAAGGUAGGAAGUGACUUUUUCUGGUUUGGUUCUUUUUCUUUAUUGUUUUCUGGAAAUAGAAGUAAUUAAGUAUAGAUACUACUGGUUUGUUUCUUCCAGUAGCUGAUAAUACUAAUACCAAUAAUAAUAAUAAUAAUAAUAGUAAAGUAAUACUACUUCAACUGUCUUUAUUUAUCCAUUGAACUGGCCAUUUUAAAUCUAAACUUCUAAACACAAAUCAAACCAUCAUCCUUGUAGAAUCUUUAAUAGGAGUGGGCUAAAGAUCCUGGUUUUGUUGACAGGAUUUAUUGGUUCAUGAACAGCAAGAGGUAAGUACAAGCCUAACUACCCUCUAGCUCACAGACCUGCCCGGUGAAUAGAGCUUUGUUUUUUUGAUGGGCUUGUGAUGACUUUGAGAUCAAUUGCUCAUUCAUUACAGUAAAAAAAAAAAAAUUGUUUUGAACAUGACAGCAAAAAUAACUUUAAGCACAACUUAAUAAUAAUAAUAGAUCACCAAUUUUAGUUAAUAAUUUUAUGCUAUACUCUUGGGUGAGGGAAGACUCGGACACUCAAUAUGAGAUCAGCAAGCUAUGUUUAUUGCAGAGAGUAUCAGACACUUAUACAGCACAUAAUAAGCUUAUGAAUAUUCUGUAAGCCAAGCGAUCUAUUGGUUAAACUAUACCAUCAACUCUUCCUCAUUCCUUUGGGCCUACAUUCCCUAUUUCCCACGUCUCUCUGUCUACUUGUUAUCCUACCCAGCUAGGCCCAGGCACACGCUAUCUUGCAGGUGCAAAACUCAAAAAUACCUGUGUUCGGUACUUUCCCAGCUCCUGGUCGGCUAACGAGCGAAUGUCUGCGUGACCUCUGUCAUGGAGCCAUUUCUCCACACUAUACUAUCAAAGUUUAAAGGUAAAUUAUUAUAUAUUAGGAGAUGGUGUAAAGUGUAUGUUGUAAUGUGUAGGAUAUAUACAAAGAUACGUACUUGAAAGUCCGUAGAGGAAACAAAUUUUUACGCCUUCUGUUUGACUGUUUGUCAUAUAUUUGGUUUUAUUUCCCAGGGAUCAGUGAAUUUUAACUCUGGAGUCCUCUAUGCUAAGGAUGCUCAGCUUAGAGAUGAUGAAAUGUUCAGUAAUGUAUUUGCUGCAGCUCUGCUUACCCAAGGUUUGGGUAAAACAAGCUUUGGGUUCCCUCUGUCUCACUGGGAGUUGCCCAAUUCAGUUGCAUCUGGUGAAAUUCACCCUGAGACCUUACAGAACCAGCUCCAACUACGUGAGAGCCAUUUGCAGUUCUCUCCAGACACCUGGAGAAUGGGCGACAUUUCUGAGAAUCCGGCGAGCGUGCUUCUAUCAAAACUCAGUCUGUGAAAUUCCUGGGGAAAACCCUUCUGUGUCCUGAAGGGUUCAAACUCUGGGAAAGACUCUCGUAUCCUUGUCAUCGGGCUCGGUGCUGUCCAAGAAGAUACAGAGACUAAAAAAAUCAUAAGAAGCAAAAUAUGACUGCAGGGAAAAGAAGCUGGAGAGAACAGAAGACUCAUCACGGCGGGACAGCGUGAAGACUGAAAGUGUAAGAAGAUGUGGAGGGAAAGAGAGAAUCUGACAGGAGCAUCGGAGGGACGAGUGCACGAAUUUUGCUUUUUGCUUGGAUGUAAACUCAGGAGUUGAGAGGAAUUUGGGAGUGAGAAGGGACAUCUCAGAAGGAGAAGAAGAAAAAGAGGUUGUUGUUGUUGUUACAGUCCUGGCAAAAUCUUUUGUUCUAGCUAAUAAAAGAAGUUAGUUUAAAAAACAAAAAGGAAAAAAUGUAGUGUUUUUUUUUUCCUUCACUAUGAUAUUCAUUGGUGGUAUAUGGUGUGUUGUUUCAUUUCUUGGUAUUAUUAACUCUGUGUAAAUUGUUUUUUGAGUGAAGCUGACUUUCUGGAUGGGUUGGUUUGUAUUUGAGGCAGGAUUAAUUUCAGUAGGGUUCUUUCAUAGAUUUCUGAUGGGUAUUACUGGGAUUUUGGUUUUGUUUACUGUAUGUAUGAACCUAGAGCUUUGGUAGGGCCAGCUGGGCUGCUGGAGUUUUGGGUGUGAAUUUAUUAGAUGGCUUUUGUUAGAUGCAGUUUUUAAUUUUUGAAAUGUUUUUCAAUGUAGUGGUUUUAAGGUGGUUUUUAAGAAUUCAUUGUAUUGCUUUAUCUUGUUUGUAGUUGGUGUAUGAUAAGGGAUGUGGUGUGAGUUCUUGAACAUUAUGGUUUUGGUGUUCCUAAGUUCUGAUUUCUUUGUGGUUCAAUAGCUUUUUUUAUUUUUAUUUUUUGGGACAGGGGCAUUUAUAUGGUGGGUUUUUAUAGGCAAUAUGUUUUUUAAUUUAGGUAGUGAUAUUUUUUAAUAUUUUAAUAGUUUAGGUUUUUUAUUUUCAUGGUUUUAAUUAUUUUUUUUAAUUUUUUGAAAUAACUUUUAUAGAUUACAUGUUAUUAUUUGUGCAUUAACAUAAAGGUAGAGCUUUGGGGACUUUUUUUAGUAAUGUUUAGGGUCAGUUGUGCAGUUUUGAGUCUAGUGCGUUGGUUUGAUUUAAUUUUUAAUGGGUGUUUGUUUUUAUUAGCAGUUGUGUCAUUUUCAAGGUGUGUUUGAGUUUUUUGGGGUUUUUGAGAUACUGGUUUAGGAGGAAGUUUAUGAUGAGCAUGUGCGGAGGUUUUGGGCUACUUUAUAGUGGGAUUUAAAAUUUAUUUACAGUUAGGUUUAUUUGAGUUUUUAUUAGGGUUCAGUGACGUUGUGGCAUGUUUGUUCCAUUAGUAACAGAAAUAGGUUUUGUUUUGCUGUGCUGCGAUGGGAUGGGCGUGUGCUGCGUGCCGGUGCUGACAAAGGUACAGUAUUGUUGUGGCUCUGGUGCGUCGGGUUAAUGAACUGACAUGGUUUAAUGUAGAGAUGAAAAUAGAAAUAAAUAUACAUUUAAAAAUAAAUAUAAAAUUAGAGUGGUAAACAUAAAUAUAGAUAACAGAUACAUACAUAAAACUAUAAUAUAUGGUAUAUAAUUGUAACAUGUUAUCAUAUAGAUAAAUGAUAGUCUAUUUUAUAUAUAUAUACACAAAGAUAUAUAAAUAUAGAUUGUAAAUAUAAAAAUAUUUAAAUAGAGUUAAAGUAAAUUGGGCAGUUUUAUUAGGGUAUAGGCUGGGGUUUUUAAAUGAUAGCAAUAAAAUAUAAAUUCAGAUAUACAAAUAUAUAUAGAAAUACAAAUAUCUAUACAUAUUUAAUUUAAACAAAUAUAAGUAAGAAAAUAUGUAUAAUACAGAAAAUAUAUUUCUAUGAUUAUAUUAGAAGGUAUUCCCUCUAAUAUAGAUAAAAUCUAUGCAUAAAAUAAAUAAAAAUAUCCAUAUAAAUAUCAUUAUAAUUUUGAAAAAUAAAUUUACUUCGUAAAUUUUAAAUCUGGUUCAAAUAAAGGGGUGUCCUUGGUUUUUAUUUGGUUAGAGGCAGGAGUUUUAUUUUAAAUAAUAUAAGCAAUAUAGAAAUGUGGAUCUUAAGAUAGAAAUAUAUAAUAAAUAUAUAAAGAGAAAUUGCUAAACUAUGAAUAUAAAUUUAAAUAUAAAUAUAUGUAAGUAAUAUGAGGAGUUGUGGCAUGGAAUAUAAAUAACAUUAAAUGGCAAUAUAAAUUAUAAAUGGGAAUAUAAAUAUAAAAAUAUGUAAAUAUCGUUUAAAAGAAAUGGAAUGUUUUGGCUUUUAUUUAAGUAGAGGCAGGGUUUUUAAUUUGAAUAUUAUACGUGUUCCAGAAGUAAAAAUCUUGACGCAGAAAUAUUUAAUCCAUAUAAAAAUAUGAAUAAAAAAAUAUAAAAAAUAUAAAUACCUACUCGCAUCGGAUGUAAUAUAGAAUAUAAAUUUAUUUAUAAAUUGACAUUGGUAAAGAUAAAUAUAUAAGUAAGCAAUAUACAUUAAUAUACAUUAUAAAUACAAAUAUGAAUAUAACAAUUGAACAUUAGGAUAAAAUCUAUUUAAAUAUUUUUUAAAAGAAAGGGUUCGGUUUUUUUUUAUUGUUGUGUUAGAGGCAGGGUUUUUAUUUUAAAUAGUAUGAAUGUAGAUAUUGUUAUAUAUUUCUAAAUAUUGAGAUAUACAAUCAAGAUAUAAAUAUAUAUAUAAACACAAAAUAUAAAUAAAUACAAAUAAUAGGAAGUGAUGUAAUGAAGAAUACAAAUAACAGUAUACAUAAGUAUACAUUUUAAAUGUAAAUGUGAAUAUGAACCUGAAAAAUAGAAUUUUAUAAAAUAUUUAAGUACAGUUUGGAAGAAAGGGGUUCUUUUUGGCUUUAAUGUGGAUGGAGGCAAAGGUUUUAUUUUAAAUAAUCCAAGUGUUACCGAAGUAAAAAUCGUAACAGAAAUGUAUACUUACUAU